UACAGAGGUCUCAAGCGUUGUUCGGAUUCAUUGGGCGUAAAGGGUGCGUAGGCGGCGCGGUAAGUCGGGUGUGAAAUCUCGGAGCUUAACUCCGAAACUGCAUUCGAUACUGCCGUGCUUGAGGACUGGAGAGGAGACUGGAAUUUACGGUGUAGCAGUGAAAUGCGUAGAUAUCGUAAGGAAGGCCGGUGGCGAAAGCGAGCCUCUGGACAGUUACUGACGCUGAUGCACGAAGGCCAGGGGAGCAAACGGG
rnacentral:rRNA from 1 species